UACGUAGGGUGCGAGCGUUGUCCGGAAUUAUUGGGCGUAAAGAGCUUGUAGGCGGUUUGUCGCGUCUGCUGUGAAAAUCCGGGGCUCAACCCCGGACUUGCAGUGGGUACGGGCAGACUAGAGUGUGGUAGGGGAGACUGGAAUUCCUGGUGUAGCGGUGAAAUGCGCAGAUAUCAGGAGGAACACCGAUGGCGAAGGCAGGUCUCUGGGCCGCUACUGACGCUGAGAAGCGAAAGCAUGGGGAGCGAACGGG
rnacentral:rRNA from 1 species